GCGGGUGCCGCGCUUAGUCCAGGUCCGCUUCGGGGCGGGCCAGGAGCCGGGGAACCACACCGAUCAUCUGGGGUGUAUCCGCCGCGAGAGCGAUCCGGGAGACCGGGUCGAGGAGCGGUGGUAGGGCAGGUCGUGCCUGAACCCGUCAGCUCACCCGGUAGGCGUCAACGACUACACAA
rnacentral:sRNA from 1 species